UGAGGAACAUGACCUUCGGCGGGGGAGUAGCCGGCCCCAACGGCCGGGUAAUACCGCGUACGACCACAUGGGGACAUCCCUGAGUGGUGAAAGCAGCAAUGCGCCGAUGGAGUGCCUCGCGGCCUAUCAGCUAGUUGGUGAGGUAACGCUCACCAAGGCAACGACGGGUANCUGGUCUGAGAGGAUGGCCAGCCANAGUUGGGACUGAGACCACCGGCCCAGACCUCGUACCGGGGAG
rnacentral:rRNA from 1 species